rnacentral:lncRNA from 1 species
CACAGUUUCACCUGUAAAAUGUGGAGAGACUUGUGGACUGGCUGACUCUAAAACCUUUGCCAGCUCUAACAGGCCGCGAUUUUAACACAUAGUUGUAUUCUCAUAGUGCCCAUUAAGUUAAACUGUAUUAAAGUUCAACCAUCAAACAAACAAAAACUAAGUUCAAAUGUGUUUAGAUAUUAUUCCUUAUUUCAAACAUCGCUAACGGUUCUUGAGAGCCUCUUAUAAGCCAAAUAUUGCUCUAAGCACUUUGCUGGCAUUGUCAUUUACAAAACACUCCUGUUGAGAUUUUCAACUAACAUUCCCGGACAGUGGGGAGAGCCUGGAGAAAUGAGAAACUGCGUGAGCAAAACCAGGGAGGAGGGAGCACGUAAGGCACAUUCAGGGAAGUCUUGCUGCUGGAGGAAGUUAGUUUUGGCGAAUGAUCUAGUUUUGGUAACUACAAAAUAACCCCUGAAUCAUAGACAUAUCAACAAAAUAUGUGAAUCACACAUCAACA